GGAGGAAAAGAAACUAACCAGGAUUCUCCCAGUAACGGCGAGUGAACGGAGAUUAGCCCAUCGCCGAAGUCUAUUCACUGUUGUGGACAGGACAAUGUGGUGUUCAGGCGUGUACCCUGGGAGUGCUUGCCUACUCGAAGUCCAACUCCGAUUAUGGCUAGGACCAUGCCCAGAGCGGGUGAAAGGCCCGUUCGGGUAGGUUGUUGCAAUUGAAUGCGCUCCUCAGAUGUGCAUGCUUUCGAGUCGGGUUGCUUGAGAAUGCAGUCCAAAGUGGGUGGUAAACUCCAUCCAAGGCUAAAUACUGGCACGAGUCCGAUAGUAGACAAGUACCGUGAGGGAAAGUUGAAAAGUGCUCUGAAGAGAGAGUAAAUAGCACGUGAAGCCGCUUGCAGGGAAGCUGGUGGAGUCAAGCUUCAUGUUCGUGGGAUUGUCUACAGUGGCAUCGUUGUUGUUUGGGACGUGGCAUUGAGUGAGCCUGUAAACGGCUCUAUGCAUCUCGGUGCAUAUCAAGUGGUUCUGGUGAGGACCUUUGGACUGGUGCCUAUCUCCCUGCUCUGUGGCUUUAUCCCGCUGGACAUACAUCAUGGUCAAUAAGACAUGGUUCGUACUGUGUGAACGCUUAACUGUACUGUGGCGGGCAUUCGUGCUUGCCUGGUGCGGAAUGGCAGGUGGCUUGUGUAGGCUCUCGGGUCGGCAACUUGCUUAUUAGAGAUUUCGAUCUGCUAGUGUUCAUGUGUGAAUUUAUCAGUAUCGGCCCUAUUGUUGCUAUGGCGUGGUGUACUCUACGGAGUGUGUUGCGUUCGAGAACCAUGAUGCUGAGGUAGACCUUCCACCCGACCCGUCUGAGA
rnacentral:rRNA from 1 species